rnacentral:rRNA from 1 species
AGUGAACGCUGGCGGUAGGCCUAACACAUGCAAGUCGAACGGCAGCACAGAAAUAGCUUUCUCUUACGGGUGGCGAGUGGCGGGUGGGGUAGGAAUACAUCCGCAUCUACUUUUUCUUGGGGGAUAACGUCGGAACACAUACGCUAAUACCGCAACCGAGCUACGGGUGAAAGCAGGAGAUCUUCGGACCUUGCGCGAGUGAAUGAGCCGAUGUCGGAUUAGCUAGGUGGCGGGGUAAAGGCCCACCAAGGCGACGAUCCGUAGCUGGUCUGAGAGGAUGAUCAGCCACACUGGAACUGAGACACGGUCCAGACUCCUACGGGAGGCAGCAGUGGGGAAUAUUGGACAAUGGGCGCAAGCCUGAUCCAGCCAUCCCGCGUGUGUGAAGAAGGCCUUCGGGUUGUAAAGCACUUUUGUUGGGAAAGAAAAGCAGCAGGUUAAUACCCCGCUGUUCUGACGGUACCCAAAGAAUAAGCACCGGCUAACUUCGUG